GGAAGGAGAAGUCGUAACAAGGUUUUUCAAUGAUUCUUCAUGCCUGAAAAUGGUUUAGAUGCACGGAAGCCUUAGUAACAUGAGAGGAUGGGCCUUCUAUGUUGCUAGUAUUUGCAAAUGGAGCAAAUGCGACGUCAUCAAACUGCGGGGAACGUGUAAAAAAAUAGUGCAAGUACCAAGCGUGGUUACAUCGCUUCCUUGCGAGUAAGAACGUGGCCAAAUUUUMAGAUUUUGGGUAUGGUAAUAAUCUUGCAUUAGACGCUACGCAACCCGCAACCAAGGCUCUUGUAUAAGAGUGCUGUUCACAGACUAGAUGAUGACGGGCCUACGGAAAGCUGGCUCAAGGUAUAGUCGAACAUGUUUGGAAACAUGUGAAACAAAUUCCGCAUGAGGAUUCACCGUUCCGUAGGUGAACC
rnacentral:rRNA from 1 species